UACGUAGGGGCCUAGCGUUGUCCGGAAUUAUUGGGCGUAAAGAGCUCGUAGGCGUUUCGGCAAGUCGGAUGUGAAAUCUCCACGCUUAACGUGGAGGGGCCAUUCGAAACUGCUGUGACUCGAGUCCGGUAGGGGAGUGUGGAAUUCCCGGUGUAGCGGUGAAAUGCGCAGAUAUCGGGAGGAACACCAGUAGCGAAGGCGGCACUCUGGGCCGGUACUGACGCUGAGGAGCGAAAGCGUGGGGAGCGAACAGG
rnacentral:rRNA from 1 species